rnacentral:rRNA from 1 species
UUUUCUGGUGCUUGCACUAGAAAAACUUAGCGGCGAACGGGUGAGUAACACGUAAAGAACCUGCCUCAUAGACUGGGACAACUAUUGGAAACGAUAGCUAAUACCGGAUAACAGUAUUUCUCGCAUGAGAGAUAUUUAAAAGUUGGUUAUGCUAACACUAUGAGAUGGCUUUGCGGUGCAUUAGCUAGUUGGUGGGGUAAAGGCCCACCAAGGCGACGAUGCAUAGCCGACCUGAGAGGGUGAUCGGCCACACUGGGACUGAGACACGGCCCAGACUCCUACGGGAGGCAGCAGUAGGGAAUCUUCCGCAAUGGGCGAAAGCCCUGACGGAGCAACGCCGCGUGAGUGAAGAAGGAUUUCGGUUCGUAAAGCUCUGUUGUUAGGGAAGAAUGGAUAUGUAGUAACUAUACAUAUAAGAGACGGUACCUAACCAGAAAGCCACGGCUAACUACGUGCCAGCAGCCGCGGUAAUACGUAGGUGGCAAGCGUUGUCCGGAAUUAUUGGGCGUAAAGCGCGCGCAGGUGGUUUAAUAAGUCUGAUGUGAAAGCCCACGGCUCAACCGUGGAGGGUCAUUGGAAACUGUUAAACUUGAGUGCAGGAGAGAAAAGUGGAAUUCCUAGUGUAGCGGUGAAAUGCGUAGAGAUUAGGAGGACACCAGUGGCGAAGGCGGCUUUUUGGCCUGUAACU